UUCCAUAUCAACACUACAGCCUCCUCCCAUGGAAUGUGUGGGAACUAUGAAACGCAAACUAACUACAAUGCUUCCGCUUAUUGGUACUGUAUCAUAAUUCUUGACAAGAGAAACAGUAAAAAGAGAAACGGAUUAAUGCGCUAAAAUUGACAGAUAACAUGAUUUUAACAGGAUUCCAGCAUAUCUUAAUGAAUUGUGGAACAUUAUGAACUUUUGAAAAAUUAAGAUGGUCCAAAUUAGGUAUUCGGACUUUUAAAAAAAUCCUUAAUACAUGUAAUUGAAUUUUGUCCAAGUCAGCAAAAAUGUUUCGAAAUUUUAAAAUCAAGUAUCACUUCUAAAAAAGCGCAUGCAAAGAAGCAAGAGCAAGCGUGAUGUCGAAAGAACCUACUUCGUCUUGAACCAAAAUUUUCGGAUACAUUUUUUGCUCUGGUAAAUUCCUGACAGAAACUAUCAUUACAUCAACCAAUUUAUUUAUCUCAAGGUCGAGUCUUUCUGAAUAUCAAUCGCAAUUACUUGAUACAAAUGUGUCCAACACAACCCAACUUGUUUUGAUGGAACAGUUUGCGACCGGAAUCUGUGAAGUGAUGUCAAAUGUAUCAAAAUUCCCAUAACCUUGAUAUUUUCCUUCUGUCUAACUGUUUUAUUGUCGAGUCAUACGUUUAAGUCACGAAAUGACAUGGAUACUCAACUGUAAAUAAUUAUAAAUGUACAACUACAGUCAGACAUUUUGUGAUGGACGAAUUGUUGCCGGAAAAUGGAAUUCUAAUUUAUUACAUAUCAAAUGUUUAUAUGUACUAUAUAGAAAAUAAAAUAAU
rnacentral:sRNA from 1 species